UACGAAGGGGGCUAGCGUUGUUCGGAAUCACUGGGCGUAAAGCGCACGUAGGCGGAUCUUUAAGUCAGAGGUGAAAUCCCAAGGCUCAACCUUGGAACUGCCUUCGAUACUGGAGAGCUUGAGUCCGGGAGAGGUGAGUGGAACUGCGAGUGUAGAGGUGAAAUUCGUAGAUAUUCGCAAGAACACCAGUGGCGAAGGCGGCUCACUGGCCCGGUACUGACGCUGAGGUGCGAAAGCGUGGGGAGCAAACAGG
rnacentral:rRNA from 1 species